rnacentral:rRNA from 1 species
ACACAUGCAAGUUGAACGAAGCGCUUAAAUGGAUUUCUUCGGAUUGAAGUUUUUGUGACUGAGUGGCGGACGGGUGAGUAACGCGUGGGUAACCUGCCUCAUACAGGGGGAUAACAGUUAGAAAUGACUGCUAAUACCGCAUAAGCGCACAGUGCUGCAUGGCACAGUGUGAAAAACUCCGGUGGUAUGAGAUGGACCCGCGUCUGAUUAGCUAGUUGGUGGGGUAACGGCCUACCAAGGCGACGAUCAGUAGCCGGCCUGAGAGGGUGAACGGCCACAUUGGGACUGAGACACGGCCCAAACUCCUACGGGAGGCAGCAGUGGGGAAUAUUGCACAAUGGGGGAAACCCUGAUGCAGCGACGCCGCGUGAGCGAAGAAGUAUUUCGGUAUGUAAAGCUCUAUCAGCAGGGAAGAAAAUGACGGUACCUGACUAAGAAGCACCGGCUAAAUACGUGCCAGCAGCCGCGGUAAUACGUAUGGUGCAAGCGUUAUCCGGAUUUACUGGGUGUAAAGGGAGCGUAGACGGUUGUGUAAGUCUGAUGUGAAAGCCCGGGGCUCAACCCCGGGACUGCAUUGGAAACUAUGUAACUAGAGUGUCGGAGAGGUAAGCGGAAUUCCUAGUGUAGCGGUGAAAUGCGUAGAUAUUAGGAGGAACACCAGUGGCGAAGGCGGCUUACUGGACGAUCACUGACGUUGAGGCUCGAAAGCGUGGGGAGCAAACAGGAUUAGAUACCCUGGUAGUCCACGCCGUAAACGAUGACUACUAGGUGUCGGGGAGCAAAGCUCUUCGGUGCCGCAGCAAACGCAAUAAGUAGUCCACCUGGGGAGUACGUUCGCAAGAAUGAAACUCAA